rnacentral:rRNA from 1 species
ACGCGAGGAACCUUACCAGGUCUUGACAUCCCAUUGACCGCUAUGGAGACAUAGCUUUCCCUUCGGGGACAGUGGUGACAGGUGGUGCAUGGUUGUCGUCAGCUCGUGUCGUGAGAUGUUGGGUUAAGUCCCGCAACGAGCGCAACCCUUGUUCUUAGUUGCCAUCAUUUAGUUGGGCACUCUAAGGAGACUGCCGGUGACAAACCGGAGGAAGGUGGGGAUGACGUCAAAUCAUCAUGCCCCUUAUGACCUGGGCUACACACGUGCUACAAUGGAUGGUACAAAGGGCUGCAAGACUGCGAAGUCAAGCGAAUCCCAUAAAACCAUUCUCAGUUCGGAUUGUAGGCUGCAACUCGCCUACAUGAAGCUGGAAUCGCUAGUAAUCGCGGAUCAGCAUGCCGCGGUGAAUACGUUCCCGGGCCUUGCACACACCGCCCGU